GCAUAUCAAUAAGCGGAGGAAAAGAAACCAACAGGGAUUGCCCCAGUAACGGCGAGUGAAGCGGCAACAGCUCAAAUUUGAAAUCUGGCCCCCCCCCCCGGGGGGCCCGAGUUGUAAUUUGCAGAGGAUGCUUUGGGCGAGGCGCCUUCCGAGUUCCCUGGAACGGGACGCCACAGAGGGUGAGAGCCCCGUCUGGUCGGACGCCGAGCCUCUGUAAAGCUCCUUCGACGAGUCGAGUAGUUUGGGAAUGCUGCUCAAAAUGGGAGGUAUAUGUCUUCUAAAGCUAAAUACCGGCCAGAGACCGAUAGCGCACAAGUAGAGUGAUCGAAAGAUGAAAAGCACCUUGAAAAGGGGGUUAAACAGUACGUGAAAUUGUUGAAAGGGAAGCGCUCGUGACCAGACUUGGGGCGGGCGGAUCAGCCGGCGUUCUCGCCGGCGCACUCCGCCCGUCCCAGGCCAGCAUCAGUUCGCGCCGGGGGACAAAGGCGGCGGGAACGUGGCUCCCCAGGGAGUGUUAUAGCCCGCCGCGCCAUGCUCCGGGGGCGGACUGAGGCCCGCGCAUCACUGCAAGGAUGCUGGCGUAAUGGUCACCAGCGACCCGUCUUGAAACACGGACC
rnacentral:rRNA from 1 species